GCCGGGUGUAGCAGUUUCCUGCGGCAGUGGCUGCUGUCCCAAAUAGUUCCGAACGAUUAGGAGGCUUGCCGCACCCUCUCGCGCCGUCCCCUCUGACCCUGCCGGCGACAGGCCCGGCUCCCCGGGUGAGUCCCUGCGGGGCCGCGAUGCACAGGAAACCCCCCGCGGCCUCCCAAGGCCGGUGCAUCAUCCACCCCCCCCCACCCCCGACAGGAGGAGAAACUGAGGCCCGGGGGGACGGGGAGAGCCGGCGGAGGUCAGCGCCGAUUUCAGGCCCCGCUCCUGGGUCCGGGCCCAGCCCCUCCGCCGGCUGCGGACCUCUCGGGAUGCGUGUCCCCGAGAAUGGGACUCCUGGUCUGAUCCCCUGCGCGCGGGGAAGACUCGUGUCCCGCCAACUACCAGAAGCGGGUCCGGCGACGCGCGGGCCGAGUGCCGCCGCCAGUAGUGCGGAGCCCCGUGUGGCCCCGGGCCUGAAGAGCUCCCGGGGCCGCGUGAUUUUCACGCACACACCCACCUCCGGCUCUGGGCCUCGAAUCCCCCAAAGCGCUUCAUCGGUUGCCCACGAAGUGACCGUGCGUUGCGGGCUCCGGGGCUCUGUUGGAAGCAGAUGGAAACUCUCCGUUGGACGGCUUUGGGGGCUGUGCGUCAGGCAGCGCCCCCUUCUUUGCUGCAGGACCCUGCGCCGCAGCGCCGGAUGUGCCCCCGCGGUGUCCAGGGGGUGAGGCCUGGAUGAGCCCACUGUGUGGAGAGACAUCAUGGGAGUUCUAUCAGGAACAUUCUAGACCCCAGUGUCCUUGAGGGAUGCUGCCUCGGAUCUAGAGAUUGUUGGAAGAUUCCUUAAGGAGGUGGAGCAUUGGUCCUCUCAGGAUGACCUGGGUCCCAGCUGCCCUGGAGGGACCUCUUCAUGAUUAUUUCGGAGUUGAUCAUGGACACUGGCAGAGUGAGUGAAGAAUGAUGUCGCCACGUGAACCAUGGCCAGACCUUCUUAUCCUGUUGCCUCAGCACAGCCUGGAGGGACUUUUCUCUCUGCGUGAGCAGGCCAGAGGGAAAGUCCUGGGACCCUGGAGACUUGAGGUCCAGAGCUACAGACUUCAGCUGGCUCUGCUGCUCCCCCAGCAGGUGUCACACAGCACCUGGGACCAGGAAGACCGGUUCCCUUCCACCUGAGCCAGGUGUCCAGCAGGCUCCACGUCCCCCUGCCUAUUCCUCCUGUAACUUUUUACAACCAAGAGUUUUCUGCACUGUGCAUCCUUGUCCCCUCACCCACCCAAUAAAUCUUGAAACUGCC